rnacentral:tRNA from 1 species
GCCCGCUUAGCUCAGAAGUUAGAGCAUCUCAUUUGUAAUACGAUGGUCAUCAGUUCAAUUCUGAUAGCUGGCU